rnacentral:rRNA from 1 species
CUACGGGGGGCUGCAGUGAGGAAUAUUGCACAAUGGGGGGAACCCUGAUGCAGCAACGCCGCGUGGAGGAUGACGCAUUUCGGUGUGUAAACUCCUUUUAUAUGUCAAGAAAAUGACGGUAGCAUAUGAAUAAGCACCGGCUAACUCCGUGCCAGCAGCCGCGGUAAUACGGAGGGUGCAAGCGUUACUCGGAAUCACUGGGCGUAAAGGACGCGUAGGCGGGGUGGAAAGUCAGGUGUGAAAUCCUACGGCUUAACCGUAGAACUGCACUUGAAACUGCUAAGCUAGAGUAUGGGAGGGGGAGAUGGAAUUAGUGGUGUAGGGGUAAAAUCCGUAGAGAUCACUAGGAAUACCUAAAGCGAAGGCGAUCUUCUGGAACAUUACUGACGCUGAGGCGUGAAAGCGUGGGGAGCAAACAGGAUUAGAUACCCGUGUAGUC